UGUAUUCUAUGGCUGAUACAUGCGCAAAUACUAACAUCAUCUCUCUCUUUUUGGGGGUGUUGUGAUAUAGUAGUGUUUAUUAGAUACAGAACCAACACAUCAUUAUUACCAUACUUUAUGGUGGUGGUGAUGUAAAAUAAGGUGAUUCAUAGUAACCGAACGGAUCGCAUUAUAAUUAUCAUUAUUUGAUGAUUGGCGAUAGAUCAUUCAAGUUUCUGACCUAUCAGCUUUCGACGGUAGUGUAUUGGACUACCGUGGCAGUGACGGGUAACGGGGAAUUAGGGUUCGAUUCCGGAGAGGGAGCCUGAGAAACGGCUACCACAUCUAAGGAAGGCAGCAGGCGCGCAAAUUACCCAAUCCUGACUCAGGGAGGUAGUGACAAGAAAUAACAACACUGGAAAUUUGAUUUCUAGUGAUUGGAAUGAUGGGAAUCCAAACCCCUUUCAGAGUAACAAUUGGAGGGCAAGUCUGGUGCCAGCAGCCGCGGUAAUUCCAGCUCCAAUAGCGUAUAUUAAAGUUGUUGCAGUUAAAAAGCUCGUAGUUGGAUGUCUGUUGGAAGCAAUCAUCAGUCCGCCCUAUUUGAUUAGGGUGUGAAUAUGAUGAAUUCCGGCAUAAUUGUCUCCCUAUUGUUAAUAUUCUGAUUGUUAGAUUCAUUUCUAACAAUAAUACGAUUAUUAAUAAUAAGGGGGAAAUGUUACUUUGAGAAAAUUAGAGUGUUUGAAGCAGGCUUUUGUUGCCUUGAAUACUGCAGCAUGGAAUAACAAUAUAGGAUUUCGGUUCUAUUUUGUUGGUUCUUUUUUUAGGACUGAAAUAAUGAUUAAUAGGGACAGUUGGGGGCAUUCGUA
rnacentral:rRNA from 1 species